GCGUCUGAUUAGCUAGUUGGUAGGGUAACGGCCUACCAAGGCGACGAUCAGUAGCCGGACUGAGAGGUUGGCCGGCCACAUUGGGACUGAGAUACGGCCCAGACUCCUACGGGAGGCAGCAGUGGGGAAUAUUGGGCAAUGGGCGCAAGCCUGACCCAGCAACGCCGCGUGAAGGAAGAAGGCUUUCGGGUUGUAAACUUCUUUUAACAGGGAAGAGCAAAAUACGGUACCUGUUGAAUAAGCCACGGCUAACUACCUGCCCGCAGCCGCGGUAAUACGUAGGUGGGAAGCGUUGUCCGGAUUUACUGGGUGGAAAGGGCGUGCAACCGGGUUUAUAAGUCAGAUGUGAAAUCCCGCGGCUCAACCGCGGAACUGCAUUUGAAACUGUAGAUCUUGAGUACUGGAGAGGCAAGCGGAAUUCCUAGUGUAGCGGUGAAAUGCGUAGAUAUUAGGAGGAACACCAGUGGCGAAGGCGGCCUGCUGGACAACGACUGACGGUGAGGCUCGAAAGCGUGGGGAGCAAACAG
rnacentral:rRNA from 1 species